rnacentral:rRNA from 1 species
GACGAGCGGCGGACGGGUGAGUAAUGUCUGGGAAACUGCCUGAUGGAGGGGGAUAACUACUGGAAACGGUAGCUAAUACCGCAUAACGUCGCAAGACCAAAGAGGGGGACUUCGGGCCUCUUGCCAUCAGAUGUGCCCAGAUGGGAUUAGCUAGUAGGUGGGGUAAUGGCUCACCUAGGCGACGAUCCCUAGCUGGUCUGAGAGGAUGACCAGCCACACUGGAACUGGGACACGGUCCAGACUCCUACGGGAGGCAGCAGUGGGGAAUAUUGCACAAUGGGCGCAAGCCUGAUGCAGCCAUGCCGCGUGUAUGAAGAAGGCCUUCGGGUUGUAAAGUACUUUCAGCGGGGAGGAAGGUGUUGUGGUUAAUAACCACAGCAAUUGACGUUACCCGCAGAAGAAGCACCGGCUAACUCCGUGCCAGCAGCCGCGGUAAUACGGAGGGUGCAAGCGUUAAUCGGAAUUACUGGGCGUAAAGCGCACGCAGGCGGUCUGUCAAGUCGGAUGUGAAAUCCCCGGGCUCAACCUGGGAACUGCAUUCGAAACUGGCAGGCUAGAGUCUUGUAAGGGGGGUAGAAUUCCAGGUGUAGCGGUGAAAUG